AGUGAACGCUGGCGGUAGGCCUAACACAUGCAAGUCGAACGGCAGCACAGUAAGAGCUUGCUCUUACGGGUGGCGAGUGGCGGACGGGUGAGGAAUACAUCGGAAUCUACUUUUUCGUGGGGGAUAACGUAGGGAAACUUACGCUAAUACCGCAUACGACCUACGGGUGAAAGCAGGGGAUCUUCGGACCUUGCGCGAUUGAAUGAGCCGAUGUCCGAUUAGCUAGUUGGCGGGGUAAAGGCCCACCAAGGCGACGAUCCGUAGCUGGUCUGAGAGGAUGAUCAGCCACACUGGAACUGAGACACGGUCCAGACUCCUACGGGAGGCAGCAGUGGGGAAUAUUGGACAAUGGGCGCAAGCCUGAUCCAGCCAUACCGCGUGGGUGAAGAAGGCCUUCGGGUUGUAAAGCCCUUUUGUUGGGAAAGAAAAGCAGCAGGUUAAUACCCCGCUGUUCUGACGGUACCCAAAGAAUAAGCACCGGCUAACUUCGUG
rnacentral:rRNA from 1 species